GGCAAGGGCGAAGCCUGGAUCCAGCCAUGCCGCGGUGGUGUGAAGAAGGUCUUCGGAUUGUAAAGCACUUUAAGUUUGGGAGGAAGGGCAUUAACCUAAUACGUUAGUGUUUUGACGUUACCGACAGAAUAAGCACCGGCUAACUUCGUGCCAGCAGCCGCGGUAAUACGAAA
rnacentral:rRNA from 1 species